rnacentral:rRNA from 1 species
UUCCGUAGGUGAACCUGCGGAAGGAUCAUUACCUAGAGUUUGUGGGCUUUGCCCGCUACCUCUUACCCAUGUCUUUUGAGUACUUACGUUUCCUCGGCGGGUCCGCCCGCCGAUUGGACAAAAUCAAACCCUUUGCAGUUGCAAUCAGCGUCUGAAAAACAUAAUAGUUACAACUUUCAACAACGGAUCUCUUGGUUCUGGCAUCGAUGAAGAACGCAGCGAAAUGCGAUAAGUAGUGUGAAUUGCAGAAUUCAGUGAAUCAUCGAAUCUUUGAACGCACAUUGCGCCCCUUGGUAUUCCAUGGGGCAUGCCUGUUCGAGCGUCAUUUGUACCUUCAAGCUUUGCUUGGUGUUGGGUGUUUGUCUCGCCUCUGCGUGUAGACUCGCCUUAAAACAAUUGGCAGCCGGCGUAUUGAUUUCGGAGCGCAGUACAUCUCGCGCUUUGCACUCAUAACGACGACGUCCAAAAGUACAUUUUUACACUCUUGACCUCGGAUCAGGUAGGGAUACCCGCUGAACUUAAGA